rnacentral:rRNA from 1 species
GAGUUUGAUUAUGGCUCAGGAUGAACGCUGGCGGCGUGCUUAACACAUGCAAGUCGAACGGGCGAAUUAUAUCGGAGGUCUUCGGGCCGAAGAGAUAAUAAGCUAGUGGCGGACGGGUGCGUAACGUGUGGGUAAUCUGCCUUUGUCAUAGGAAUAACUGCUUGAAAAAGUAGCUAAUACCAAAUAACAUAUCGUAUAGGCAUCUAUAAGAUAUCAAAGAGAAAUCGGACAAAGAUGAGCCCGCAUCUGAUUAGCUGGUUGGUAGGGUAAAAGCCUACCAAGGCGACGAUCAGUAGCCGGCCUGAGAGGGUGAACGGCCACAUUGGAACUGAGACACGGUCCAAACUCCUACGGGAGGCAGCAGUGGGGAAUAUUGCACAAUGGGGGGAACCCUGAUGCAGCAACGCCGCGUGAGUGAAGAAGGCUUUCGAGUCGUAAAACUCUGUUGUAAGGGAAGAUAAUGACGUNCUAAANAG